rnacentral:siRNA from 1 species
UACAUACAAAUAAAGUUGUUCUGC